rnacentral:tRNA from 1 species
AGGUCAGUAGCUUAAUUGGUAGAGCAGCGGUCUCCAAAAUCGAAGGUUGGGGGUUCAAGUCCCUCCUGGCCUG